GUCAGCACGGGUGGAGCUCCCUGCCGCUCCUGACUGAGGGAGGCGGCAGCGCUGCAGCACGGGGGCAUCGCAGGUUUGCUGGUUAUCUCAUGGCAAAAUGCAUUGAAGAGUUCUCAGACUUCAAGAUGAGUAUCAAGGUAGUAUGGCUACUGGAAUACCCUGCAAAAGUUGAAGAGAGUACUUGCUAAAAACAACAAAGGACCUGGUUUCAAAGGAAACUUGAGAAGUUCGAGUUCUGGUUCUGAUCUGGAUGCCAGUUGUUUCACAGAUUACAAGAGCAAAAGAAGUGUCCUGGCACUGCACGAUAGUGCUGGAAGACUGUGACUUCUCCCACCUACGUUACGUGUUUGGAGAGAGGUAUCCCUCCAUAUCCCCUGACAGAAUGCUCUGAACAUUACCCUGCUCCUGAUUUAGGCUUCUCUGAGUUAUAUGGAUGUAACGUGACUGUGUCGUAUUGGACUUAACUGCAGCCUGACUGAGGUUUUGUGAAGAGAUGCAGAUAUCAGGAAUAUCAGAAGAGAUGCAGUAUGAGGCUCAAAAGUUAGUCACAGAACUUGGCAAUAAAAAAACCAACUCAGCAUUUGUUUUCAGCACUUAUAAAUGCUAUUGUUAUUCCUGUUGCUAUCACUAUUACCGUUAUAAGUUACUACCUCAGUGAUAUUUCAUUGACUUUAUAUAAACAUGAGCUGCCAUCAGAUGUAAAUUCAGUGAAAAAACAUCAGAUGGGAGAAAAUUAAUAAAGGUCAUGCUUUCUUUCU